CUGGGAUCUUCCUUGCUUCUUGCUUCCCUCCGCUCUCGCCAAGUCCUCCGCGGCCCGGCCGGCUGGUACUUACACGCGGCCCCCCUUCAUGCGCCCCCGGCUCGGGGCGGGCGGCCCUGGCUCUGCCCUGCGCGGCGGCGGGGCCGUCAGUGCUGGGCGGGCGCUCGCAUCUCUGCCCGCCCCGGCGCGCCUCUGUGGCAUCCGCGCCGCUCGGGAGGGCGCGGCGGCGGCGGCAGCGGGGCUCGGCGCGGCGCGGGGCACUGUCAGGGCUUCCCGGCCCGAUCUCCACGUACAGAUACAUGUUUAGGGCCGCUUGGGUUAAUAUAUGUCGUCAGAAGCGGCGGUCGCCAAUGGCCAGGGCGGGGGCGGAGCCCGCCGCCCUCCGCAAUAAAACUUUUUGAUGUUCGCUGUGCUAAUUGCCGAGCUCCUCUUUUAGGAUUGGCUGCCCCUCCGCAUCCCUAAUGUAAUUAAAACAAGGGGGGGAAAAUUAUCAUGGAGGCAGAGGUUAAUGCAAGUGUUUAGCAGAUGCCUUACAGUAAAAUCUGCAUUAAAAUUUUUUGAAAAACCCAAACAACAACACCCCCCCCCCCAAAGUCAUUAAAACUUAAAUAUCGGAUAAUCUCAAACCAGCUUACUGCCUGCGCCUAUGCACCUCCACCAGCGUUCACCCGAGUGACUCAAGCGCCUGAAAUCGGUUUCAUGCUUCUUGGACUGGUAUGAUCGGAAAGUUAAGAAGACAGAAAAUGGAGAAGUGAGUGUCAUGUACCUCCCGAGACCUGGAGGGAAAUGGAGCCACGGCCAAAAGGAGUGGGUGUAAAUGUGACAACAAAAAUAAAUACUUUAUAUCACCCUGC